AGUUGGGCCUGCUCGGUGAUUAAUAUUUAACAGCUGCGGUAUUAUAACUGUACUAAGGUAGCAUAAUAAUUUGCUCUAUAAAUUGGGGCUAGAAUGAAUGGUUUGACGAAAAUUAAUCUGUCUCUAUUUUAUUUAUUAGAAAUUAAUUUUUAUAGUGAAAAAGCUUGAAUAAUUUAAAGGGACGAAAAGACCCUAUUGAGCUUAUAUUGAUAUAUAUAUAUAUAUAUAUAUAUAUAUAUAUAAUCAGUUUUGGUUGGGGUGAUCAAGGAAUAAAAAAUGUUGUUUUUAUGUAGUUAUAACUUCCUUAUUAAUUAUAUAUUUUAUGAAUUAAUAAACCAAGAUAUUUUGCUUUUAAGAAAAGUUACCAUAGGGAUAACAGCGUAAUUUUUUUUGAGAGUUCAUAUUGAAAAAAGGGAUUGCGACCUCGAUGUUGGAUUAAAGUAACCUUAAGGUGUAGAGGC
rnacentral:rRNA from 1 species